ensembl:rRNA 5S_rRNA 5S ribosomal RNA
AAAGUCCUCCUUAGAAAGCUAAGAUUAAUCUCGUCUGAUCUCAAAGCUAAGCAAGGUUGGGCCUGGCUAGUACUUGGAUGGGAGAAAACUAAGAUUAGGACUUUC